UACAGAGGGUGCAAGCGUUGUUCGGAAUUAUUGGGCGUAAAGGGCGCGUAGGCGGUGCCACAAGUCACCUGUGAAAUCUCCGGGCUUAACUCGGAGCCUGCAGGCGAAACUGUGGUGCUGGAGUGUGGGAGAGGUGCGUGGAAUUCCCGGUGUAGCGGUGAAAUGCGUAGAGAUCGGUAGGAACACCAGUGGCGAAGGCGGUCUCCUGGGGCUAACUUGACGCUGAGACGCGAAAGCUGGGGGAGCGAACGGG
rnacentral:rRNA from 1 species